AUUUAUGAAGAAUAGGUUAUUGAAAACAUAAUUACCAGUGAACGUUGUCUUGAUGAUUUGAGGUUGUUGAAUGUUUGCUAGUUGAGUAAAAAUCUCUUUUAAGUUGUAAUGAGAAAGACAAUGGAAUGUUGUUUGAAUAAAUUGUUCAAAAAUAUGUUUUGUUUAAUUGUUGCAAUUGUCAUGCAAUAUAUGACUAAUUAAUCUUCUCUGUUAUUAGAGCAUUACAACAAGG